rnacentral:rRNA from 1 species
UACAGAGGUGGCAAGCGUUGUUCGGAAUUACUGGGCGUAAAGGGCGCGUAGGUGGCCUUCUUAGUCAGACGUGAAAUCCCCAGGCUUAACCUGGGAACUGCGUCUGAUACUGGAAGGCUCGAGUUCGGGAGAGGAAUGUGGAAUUCCAGGUGUAGCGGUGAAAUGCGUAGAUAUCUGGAGGAACACCGGUGGCGAAGGCGGCAUUCUGGACCGAAACUGACGCUGAGGAGCGAAAGCCAGGGGAGCAAACGGG